GACAGAGGGUGCGAACGUUGCUCGGAAUUACUGGGCGUAAAGCGCGUGCAGGUGGCCCCGCACGUCCGGUGUGAAAGCCCGGGGCUCAACCCCGGAGCGCGCUGGAUACGACGGGGCUCGAGGGCUGGAGAGGUCGGCGGAAUUCCCGGUGUAGAGGUGAAAUUCGUAGAUAUCGGGAGGAACACCGGUGGCGAAGGCGGCCGACUGGACAGCGCCUGACACUGAGACGCGAAAGCGUGGGUAGCAAACAGG
rnacentral:rRNA from 1 species